UUAAGUUAUUAAGGGCGCACGGUGGAUGCCUUGGCACUAGAAGCCGAUGAAGGACGUUACUAACGACGAUAUGCUUUGGGGAGCUGUAAGUAAGCUUUGAUCCAGAGAUUUCCGAAUGGGGAAACCCAGCAUGAGUUAUGUCAUGUUAUCGAUAUGUGAAUACAUAGCAUAUCAGAAGGCACACCCGGAGAACUGAAACAUCUUAGUACCCGGAGGAAGAGAAAGAAAAUUCGAUUCCCUUAGUAGCGGCGAGCGAAACGGGAAGAGCCCAAACCAACAAGCUUGCUUGUUGGGGUUGUAGGACACUCUAUACGGAGUUACAAAGGACGACAUUAGACGAAUCAUCUGGAAAGAUGAAUCAAAGAAGGUAAUAAUCCUGUAGUCGAAAAUGUUGUCUCUCUUGAGUGGAUCCUGAGUACGACGGAGCACGUGAAAUUCCGUUGGAAUCUGGGAGGACCAUCUCCUAAGGCUAAAUACUCUCUAGUGACCGAUAGUGAACCAGUACCGUGAGGGAAAGGUGAAAAGCACCCCGGAAGGGGAGUGAAAUAGAACCUGAAACCGUGUGCUUACAAGUAGUCAGAGCCCGUUAAUGGGUGAUGGCGUGCCUUUUGUAGAAUGAACCGGCGAGUUACGAUUUGAUGCAAGGUUAAGCAGUAAAUGUGGAGCCGUAGCGAAAGCGAGUCUGAAUAGGGCGUUUAGUAUUUGGUCGUAGACCCGAAACCAGGUGAUCUACCCUUGGUCAGGUUGAAGUUCAGGUAACACUGAAUGGAGGACCGAACCGACUUACGUUGAAAAGUGAGCGGAUGAACUGAGGGUAGCGGAGAAAUUCCAAUCGAACCUGGAGAUAGCUGGUUCUCUCCGAAAUAGCUUUAGGGCUAGCCUCAAGUGAUGAUUAUUGGAGGUAGAGCACUGUUUGGACGAGGGGCCCCUCUCGGGUUACCGAAUUCAGACAAACUCCGAAUGCCAAUUAAUUUAACUUGGGAGUCAGAACAUGGGUGAUAAGGUCCGUGUUCGAAAGGGAAACAGCCCAGACCACCAGCUAAGGUCCCAAAAUAUAUGUUAAGUGGAAAAGGAUGUGGCGUUGCCCAGACAACUAGGAUGUUGGCUUAGAAGCAGCCAUCAUUUAAAGAGUGCGUAAUAGCUCACUAGUCGAGUGACACUGCGCCGAAAAUGUACCGGGGCUAAACAUAUUACCGAAGCUGUGGAUUGUCCUUUGGACAAUGGUAGGAGAGCGUUCUAAGGGCGUUGAAGCAUGAUCGUAAGGACAUGUGGAGCGCUUAGAAGUGAGAAUGCCGGUGUGAGUAGCGAAAGACGGGUGAGAAUCCCGUCCACCGAUUGACUAAGGUUUCCAGAGGAAGGCUCGUCCGCUCUGGGUUAGUCGGGUCCUAAGCUGAGGCCGACAGGCGUAGGCGAUGGAUAACAGGUUGAUAUUCCUGUACCACCUAUAAUCGUUUUAAUCGAUGGGGGGACGCAGUAGGAUAGGCGAAGCGUGCGAUUGGAUUGCACGUCUAAGCAGUAAGGCUGAGUAUUAGGCAAAUCCGGUACUCAUUAAGGCUGAGCUGUGAUGGGGAGAAGACAUUGUGUCUUCGAGUCGUUGAUUUCACACUGCCGAGAAAAGCCUCUAGAUAGAAAAUAGGUGCCCGUACCGCAAACCGACACAGGUAGUCAAGAUGAGAAUUCUAAGGUGAGCGAGCGAACUCUCGUUAAGGAACUCGGCAAAAUGACCCCGUAACUUCGGGAGAAGGGGUGCUCUUUAGGGUUAACGCCCAGAAGAGCCGCAGUGAAUAGGCCCAAGCGACUGUUUAUCAAAAACACAGGUCUCUGCUAAACCGUAAGGUGAUGUAUAGGGGCUGACGCCUGCCCGGUGCUGGAAGGUUAAGAGGAGUGGUUAGCUUCUGCGAAGCUACGAAUCGAAGCCCCAGUAAACGGCGGCCGUAACUAUAACGGUCCUAAGGUAGCGAAAUUCCUUGUCGGGUAAGUUCCGACCCGCACGAAAGGCGUAACGAUUUGGGCACUGUCUCAACGAGAGACUCGGUGAAAUCAUAGUACCUGUGAAGAUGCAGGUUACCCGCGACAGGACGGAAAGACCCCGUGGAGCUUUACUGUAGCCUGAUAUUGAAAUUCGGCACAGCUUGUACAGGAUAGGUAGGAGCCUUUGAAACGUGAGCGCUAGCUUACGUGGAGGCGCUGGUGGGAUACUACCCUAGCUGUGUUGGCUUUCUAACCCGCACCACUUAUCGUGGUGGGAGACAGUGUCAGGCGGGCAGUUUGACUGGGGCGGUCGCCUCCUAAAAGGUAACGGAGGCGCUCAAAGGUU
rnacentral:rRNA from 1 species